rnacentral:lncRNA from 1 species
GUCUGAAGCAUUCAAAUGUGGGAACACUUACAACUGCUUUCCAAAAUGAGAUGAAGCCCCUCUCCGUGUGGUGUUGGAGAAGGCACUUGAUGUGGGGGCAUUUUGUGGUAGGAAGUGCUUCAGACUGGAGCACUCCCCAUGGAUAGAAUGUCCCUGAAUAACACAGCAGAAGCCACUUGGAGGCUUGAAAUCUUCUGAUGCAUAGAGGACUGUGGGAC